ensembl:snoRNA SNORA70 Small nucleolar RNA SNORA70
CUGCAGUUUAUUAAGCCGACCAGUCAGGUUGUCUGUGCUUUUCUGGUGUGCAAAGGCUGCAGACAUCAAGUCUUCGGUUUGUGUAUGUGCCCAGCUGCGAAGGGCUGGGUCCUUAAAGGGACCGCUGAGACAAUC